rnacentral:rRNA from 1 species
UACAGAGGGUGCAAGCGUUGCUCGGAAUUAUUGGGCGUAAAGCGCGUGUAGGCGGCUUAGCAAGUCGGGCGUGAAAGCCCUCGGCUCAACCGAGGAAGUGCACCCGAAACUGCUGAGCUUGAGUGCCGGAGAGGAUGGCGGAAUUCCCCAAGUAGAGGUGAAAUUCGUAGAUAUGGGGAGGAACACCGGUGGCGAAGGCGGCCAUCUGGACGGUAACUGACGCUGAGACGCGAAAGCGUGGGUAGCAAACAGG